AGUUAAUGAGCUUGAUAAGCAUUUGUUUUGAAAACAUAAGAUAGAACUAUAUUCUAUUAACUU
rnacentral:tRNA from 1 species